rnacentral:rRNA from 1 species
GGGCCCGCACAAGCGGUGGAGCAUGUGGUUUAAUUCGAUGAUACGCGAGGAACCUUACCAGGGCUUAAAUGUAAGUUGCAUUAGUUAGAGAUAUCUAUUUCUUCGGACCACUUACAAGGUGCUGCAUGGUUGUCGUCAGCUCGUGCCGUGAGGUGUCAGGUUAAGUCCUAUAACGAGCGCAACCCCUGUUGUUAGUUGCCAGCGAUUCAAGUCGGGAACUCUAACAAGACUGCCGGUGCAAACCGUGAGGAAGGUGGGGAUGACGUCAAAUCAUCACGGCCCUUACGUCCUGGGCUACACACGUGCUACAAUGGCCGGUACAGAGAGCAGCCACUACGCGAGUAGGCGCGAAUCUUCAAAGCCGGUCUCAGUUCGGAUCGGAGUCUGCAACUCGACUCCGUGAAGCUGGAAUC